rnacentral:rRNA from 1 species
UACGAAGGGGGCUAGCGUUGCUCGGAAUCACUGGGCGUAAAGCGCACGUAGGCGGACUCUUAAGUCGGUGGUGAAAUCCUGGAGCUCAACUCCAGAACUGCCUCCGAUACUGAGAGUCUUCGAGUUCGGGAGAGGUGAGUGGAACUGCGAGUGUAGAGGUGAAAUUCGUAGAUAUUCGCAAGAACACCAGUGGCGAAGGCGGCUCACUGGCCCGAUACUGACGCUGAGGUGCGAAAGCGUGGGGAGCAAACAGG